rnacentral:lncRNA from 1 species
CUGUUAUAUAAAGAUUCUAUAUAUGUGAUUAAACAUGUGAACAUUAAAUGGACUUCGUUAUAUAGACAGUACUAAGUGAGCUUACGGAGAAACUUUACUAUAGAUAGUUCCCUAUGUUAACGGGCAACAUGGAUUACGAUCCCGGAUACGUAGAUCCGAAAUAAUGACAUAGUUUCUAAAACACACACACAGAAAGCCCCGUUAUAUCUGGUGGAGGACCAGCGGGGAGUGAUGUGGCGUGGUCAUUUACAUUAAAGAUUUGAUGGUCAGUUCUUAAUCAGUUUAAUGAUCUUUCAUCUUGUUUAAUGUGACACUUUAUACGAUACAUUAGUUGCACAGUUGAACUGCAAUAGUUUAUCCAAAUAAUCUAAGACCAUUAAUCAAUGCCUUACAUAAAUUAAGAACAUGUUUAUAGCUGUAUCUUGUGAGAAACUUUAUGUAUUGGUCAG